rnacentral:rRNA from 1 species
CCUACGGGAGGCAGCAGUAGGGAAUAUUGGGCAAUGGAGGCAACUCUGACCCAGCCAUGCCGCGUGCAGGAUGAAGGCGUUAUGCGUUGUAAACUGCUUUUAUAUAGGAAGAAAGAGUUCUUGCGAGAACAGUUGACGGUACUAUAUGAAUAAGCACCGGCUAACUCCGUGCCAGCAGCCGCGGUAAUACGGAGGGUGCAAGCGUUGUCCGGAUUUAUUGGGUUUAAAGGGUGCGUAGGCGGUUUAUUAAGUCAGUGGUGAAAGACGGUCGCUCAACGAUUGCAGUACCAUUGAUACUGGUAGACUUGAGUGAGAUUGAGGUAGCUGGAAUGGAUAGUGUAGCGGUGAAAUGCAUAGAUAUUAUCCAGAACACCAAUUGCGUAGGCAAGUUACUAAGUCUCAACUGACGCUGAGGCACGAAAGUGUGGGUAUCAAACAGGAUUAGAUACCCUGGUAGUCCACACUGUAAACGAUGAUAACUAACUGUUGGUUUUCGAAUCAGUGGUACAGAGAAAUCGUUAAGUUAUCCACCUGGGGAGUACGCCGGCAACGGUGAAACUCAAAUGAAAUUGACGG